GACAGAGGAUGCAAGCGUUAUCCGGAAUGAUUGGGCGUAAAGCGUCUGUAGGUGGCUUUUAAGUCCGCCGUCAAAUCCCAGGGCUCAACCCUGGACAGGCGGUGGAAACUACCAAGCUGGAGUACGGUAGGGGCAGAGGGAAUUUCCAGUGGAGCGGUGAAAUGCGUAGAUAUUGGAAAGACCACCGAUGGCGAAGGCACUCUACUGGGCCAUUACUGACACUGAGAGACGAAGCUAGGGAGCAAAUGGG
rnacentral:rRNA from 1 species